rnacentral:rRNA from 1 species
GAUGAACGCUAGCUACAGGCUUAACACAUGCAAGUCGCGGGGCAGCAUGGGGGUUGCUUGCAAUCCCCGAUGGCGACCGGCGCACGGGUGAGUAACGCGUAUCCAACCUGCCCUUCACCACGGGAUAACCCGGCGAAAGUCGGACUAAUACCGUAUGUUGUCCAUUGACGGCAUCCGAUUUGGACGAAAGGUUUGGCGGUGAAGGAUGGGGAUGCGUUCGAUUAGCUGGACGGCGGGGUGACGGCCCACCGUGGCGACGAUCGGUAGGGGUUCUGAGAGGAAGGUCCCCCACACUGGAACUGAGACACGGUCCAGACUCCUACGGGAGGCAGCAGUGAGGAAUAUUGGUCAAUGGGCGUAAGCCUGAACCAGCCAAGUAGCGUGCAGGAUGACGGCCCUAUGGGUUGUAAACUGCUUUUAUGCGGGGAUAAAGUGGCCCACGUGUGGGUUUUUGCAGGUACCGCAUGAAUAAGGACCGGCUAAUUCCGUG